rnacentral:rRNA from 1 species
GACGUAGGUGGCGAACGUUAUCCGGAAUUAUUGGGCGUAAAGAGCUCGUAGGCGGCUUGUUGCGUCGACUGUGAAAACCCGCGGCUUAACCGCGGGCCUGCAGUUGAUACGGGCAGGCUAGAGUUCGGUAGGGGAGACUGGAAUUCCUGGUGUAGCGGUGAAAUGCGCAGAUAUCAGGAGGAACACCGGUGGCGAAGGCGGCUUGCUGGGCCUUACCUGACGCUGAGGAGCGAAAGCGUGGGGAGCGAACAGG